AUAAAAGAUGCUAACAUUUUCUUCCAGGAAAAGUUAGCCGUUACAUUCCCUCCAAAUUCAAAUUUCCAAUUUUUCUUCGUUUUUUUUCCUUUUUUUUUUUUUUUUUGUUUUUUGAAGUAGUUCCUUAAGAAAUCUCUUUUUGCAACAAACGACUCAUUCUUUCCUUUACAAAGACGAAACAGUGAGAAGAAGCACAUCCAAUCCAAGAUGGAGAGAAAAACAGCAUUGCUUUUCUCAACACCCAAAAGCCAUUCUUUCUUUUGUGUACGUAUCAUUGCUUAUAUAUGUUUGCUCAUUUUGAUUCCAACAGCUGACCUCACAAAACCCAAAAUUCGAUCUUUUAACGAAAACCCCUUUUUGAAUUCUCACCAUCAAUUGAAUCGCUUAUGUCUUUAAGCCCAACUCGUCUCGGCAACAAUGGCGGCAGCGGCAGCGGCACCGGAACCUACCAGCUUUACUGGUGCUACCAGUGCCGUAGAGCGGUCAGAUUAGCCCCUAACACCAACCCUUCCGAGAUCCUUUGCCCUCGUUGCUUCGGCCAUUUCCUCUGCGAAAUGGAUGCAGAAAGGCCCAGUAGGAUUGUCGAUUUCACCGAUUACGAUCUCUCUCCGGGAGCUCGAUUACUCGAAGCGCUGACCCUAAUGCUUGAUCCUCGGAUAAGGAGAGGCUUAUUUGGAGAUCCGGAGACGGAACAGGAAACAACCAGUCCGUUGUUCCGGAGGCGACAAACCCAAGAAGGUGCAGAUGCUCGGGAUCCAGAAGCUCAAAUAUUUCGAGGAGCACCUCCGCGGUGGAGAAGGCGGCAGCGGCGAAACCGGAGCUUCGACGGGACGAAUUGGGUCCGGGAAACCACCAUGGAAGAAAAUGAAAACCAACCUGGGGCGUGGAUUCUACUAAGACCCCUGGAUCCUUCUAACCCUUUCUCGCCCAUUUUCAGUCGGGAAAAUCCCCGAACACCUGGUGUGGAUCCCAGAAACUACUUUUUGGGACAGCGUUUGGAUGAACUGAUCGAGGAACUGACCCAGAACGACAGACCGGGACCGCCUCCGGCACCGGAAUCGGCAAUUGGUAAGAUUCCAACGGUGAAAAUCAUUGAGGCGCAUCUGAAAAAUGACUCGCCGCAUUGUCCGGUUUGCAUGGAGGAGUUCAAGGUGGGUGGUGAGGCAAAAGAAUUGCCAUGCAAACACAUAUACCAUUAUGACUGUAUUGUUCCUUGGCUGCGACUUCACAAUUCUUGCCCUGUCUGUCGGCACGAGUUGUCGGUGUCGGAAGACGAUGCCGGGGAAGAUUUGUUGGAAUCGGAGUCUUCCAAUGACGGUGGUGGUGGAGGAAGAAGGAAUCGCCGGUGCCCCAGGUGGCAUCAGCGGUUGGGCUCUUUCUGGCCCUUCCGAUCAAGGUAUCGCCAGCUUAAUCCACAUUCGCACCCUGAUUCCACUCCUUCUCGACCUGGACCUGCUGCUAGCUCAUGGCGGCAUUCUUGCUACAUUCUUUAGCACUUUGUAUAUGGAUGACAUUUGUAUGGACUUUUAUGGUUGAAAUCUUUGUUAGGACCACUUUAAGAUUUUAUACUACUAUUUCUGGCCUCACUCUUGGGAGGGUUACUGUGGAGAUUGAUCUUACCGAUUUAUCAUUGAAUUAUUCGGAGUGUAGCUGAUUCUUCACCUAAUCUCGGCCUAAAGCAUGCUUGGGAAAACUCAAAAAGGGCGUUCUCAGUGUUCUGAGAGAUGCUCUAAUUCAUGCAAAACACAUAAAAAAUAAAUAAAUAACUAAACAAAAAGAAAAAAGAAAGAAAAGUAGAUGUUCUUUUAUAUGCCUAUGAAAAUGUACAGUACAUUAUUAUGCAAUAAUUCAAAGUUAGAGAAUUAUUUGUAAUUUCAAGCA